CCAGCAAAGCCCAUGUCUUUCUAGUGGUUUACAAAAAUAUAUCGUUUGCAUGUUUUGCUUUGGUACGUCUCUGUUGUAUGACUCUGGUAAUAGUAGCAAGCACAAGCACAACCUGUUCGCCGCUCCAGCAUUGCAAAAUAGAUUGCCUUGGGUUUUCAAAUGUUUACAUGAUUGUGGGUGUAAUGUUGUUAACUCGCUGAUGUCGUUUUUGAGAAGACGGUAGUUUUGCAUUUGAUAAAUACCACCUAAUGACCAUGACGGCUACACGGCAGAUCUUUAUUGUGAUGGCUACACUGAAUGAUCAUAUGGAGAUGCCGGUACAUUAUUUGUUUUAACCUGGUUAUUUGAAAUGUUCUGCUUUGUCCAUUCCAAUGUGUGGUGUCUUCCAUAGCUGUUCCUUGCUCCCGUUUCACAACAUAUCAAGGCUGCCAAGUAAAUGAAGAAUGAAUCACCGCACACUGGUCAACAGCCGACAGAGUCCUUCCACAACCACAUACUUAUGCCAGUAAAAGCCACAGCUUUUCUCCUCCAAUCCAAGAAGCCUGGACUGCAGUCACCAUCUCAACACACCAACCAAGAGAAAGGCGGAUGGCUCAAUUCAAUAUGGAAAAUUGCACAAUAAAAGUUCCAGGACAAGAAGGCUGCAUACUGUGAACGUCAACCUUCAGGGCACCGUCCUGCGCAGAAGACUUUCUACCCUAAGAGGGAUGGCUGACCGCAGACACUCACAACCAGCACAGACGCCUCCAACCUCAAACUAGGCCCUUCACAGUUGCUGCACUUACCCACCUUCCCAGAGUUUUUGUGUGGUAAUGACAACUGUAAAUAUAGUAUAAAGUAAUGUAUCUAGUGUCAUGUGUAAUACAUUGUUUAAAUUGUCCAUUGUCCAUUGCUUCCAUUUCAAUGACA